CUUCGGGGGAGGUUUUGCCUUAAGUGCUUCAGAUGCUUCUGACUACUCAGACACUUUUGUUUGUUCUUUGAGUCUCCAAGGUCAGGGUGAUUUCUGGACUAACCUGUGCUGUCGCAUACCAGCAGGUGGAGCAUUGGGAACACAUGGCAGAUUUCUAACUCCCUCCAGCAUUUAGGAAAAGUGAUUGCCCUGAUUAGUCUGCAGCUAAUAUAGUUGUCCAAGUAAUUUGCGUCAUGAAAUUAUAAAAUUCCUGUCACAGUGGAGGAAGCAGGAAGCCCUCAGCUGGAAGACAGAGAGCAGGACCGCUCUUCUGCCACAGUGCUCUUACCAUGCUCAGUGUAAACCAUCCUUAAAGUGCACCAAUAGUCAGGCUCUGUGGUAUUGGAGGAUCAUCUUAUACUUAAAGAUGCUUUUGAAAAGAGCUCACUUUCUACAGGCAGCUUUGUCAUCUUGGACCAGAGAUACUGGUUACCUUGAAAGAAGAAAAGGGAAGACUAUGGGUCCAAAUUAGGAAUUGGAAGACUCUUUGGGAUAACACAGAAACAUAUCAUGUAGAGGUAGCUGUAAAAUAUUUACAAUGAUUUGUUUUAAUAGUUUGUAGUUAAGUAUCUCAAAGAAUCUACUCCAGAUUAAACAAUCUACUUUCACUGUGGCUCUUUACCAGGAAUGAGUCAAAAAGUCCUUUCCUGUAAGAGAAUUAUACUGUGGACAGUAAUAUUGAGUUCUAGGUUAAACCCAGUAAGUUUGUAUAAUCAAAAUUUCAUGACAAAUCUGAAGAAGGAAUACUUUUAUGGGAAGGUAAAGAAAGGCAUCGAAUCUUUGUGAAAUCAGGCCUAAUACAUUCAGAGUAUUCACGUUUCUCCUGUUUGUAGUUCUGGUUGUUCCGGUUGUUCAGGUUUCUGUUAUGGCCAAUGCAUUGAUGUAGCUAUCCUGCUAGAGAAGGCUUAAAAUCUAAAAAAGUAAAAAUAGCCAUGGAGGUUGCUAUAUAUCAUAUAGCAAUAUAAACUGCUGAAUGUCUGUGCUCUGAGGAAAAUAAGUACAAGGGUAUUAAUAUUCUUUCUUCCUUUUUCUGUUCUUGACUAUGAUUGGGAUUUUUAUGAGGGUAUUUGAUUAUGAUAAGUUUUUAGUGUGGUUGAUGGGUAUUUUGGGGGGGCUCAUUUUUAAAGCAAAAUGAUCUUGGAUUAGCCCUGCCUCCUGUGGUGACUGUGGGGAUGACUGAUCACUGCAGUGCUGCCCAAAUUACCUGAAAUAAAGACUUAAUCUGUUUGAAUAACUUCUAGGGUAUGUUACUCCACCUAAUGGAGAGCCAAGAUGCUAUUCUGUAAAUAAACAUAUCAUUUCUUCAGGCUGAGCUGUGUGGCUCAGUCCGAGGAACACAGGAUGGCGUUGGGGGGUGUCUAAUUGCUGCUAUCAUUCUUAGCCAUAGCAGACUAAAUUUGAUUUUGUUCGAACUUUGUUCAGACUCAGAUGUGGGGCAGUUUGAAUCAGGAUCUGAAUAUUAUUUUUAGCUCACACCAUCAUCCUUUUUCUGUGGUUUGUCCUCCUUAGAUCUCCUUUUCUCAGAUAAGAAUAUCAUUUUACAACAUGUACUUCUAGAUGUUUGUUUUCUGAAAUAAUUACAUAUGGCAUAUGUCUCCAGCCCUCACAAAUUCCGUUUCAGCCAUGUUAGUAACAUUCUACUUUCAUGGUUUCCCAUACAUUUUUAAAAUAUCAGGAUGCUUUUUUUCCUUUUUGUUACAAUUGGUAAUGUUAGAUUCAAUCUCUUUCAUUGUUUUAGAAUUCAUGGCCCAAUUUAAUAUAUUCUUCUACGUCCUGUUCCAAAAUUGCUAGUUGUACAGCAUGUGUAUUAGUGAUCAAAAGAAGCGGAGCGUGUGCUUUCCUGAAAAUACACAGGAAAUGCAGUGUUAAAACCAAUAAUGUACUCUUCCUACUUCAUCAUAAUUCAUCAUGUAUUGUUAAUUCUAGUGCUACAGUGAACUCUAUGUGGGUGUUAGAAGCUCACUGCAACAUACAAUCAAUAUUCAAGGCAGUAACACACAUCUGAUUCACUGCAUGACAUAAGUGCUGUCGGAGAUGAUGUGAUUUGGAUUACGUACGAGCUGCAAGCUACAGUUCUUAAAAUGUAAUGCUGAUACAGACACACUGUUUGGUCCAGGGCAAAUAGCGUAAUUUAUUCUUUGUGAUUCCUGAAGAAGUGGAAUAUAAAUGCUUGUGAACUGUAAGGCUAGUUAAAAAUAUAUAAAAGUGGUGAAAAUUUAAUCACUUAAUACUUCAGAGUUGGAUGGAUUUCUUUGAACACUUAGCUUAGAAAGAAACUGUGUAGUAAAAAAGUGUUUUUUCUCUCCCUGACCUCUCUCCCCCCACCAAGGAAAGGAGAAAGGGGGGGAAAAAAAAGACUUACAUAUAAAAUCUGUUCUGGCUACUUCAAUGUAGUAUCAGAGGAAUGGAUUUGUUUAAAUAGUUUGGUAUAUUUUCAUGACUAUCAGAUAAAAAGGGAAAAAGUUUAUU